rnacentral:rRNA from 1 species
UGGGGAAUUUUGGACAAUGGGGGAAACCCUGAUCCAGCCAUUCCGCGUGAGUGAAGAAGGCCUUCGGGUUGUAAAGCUCUUUUGUCCGGAACGAAACGGUUGGCGUGAAUAUCGCCGACUACUGACGGUACCGGAAGAAUAAGCACCGGCUAACUACGUGCCAGCAGCCGCGGUAAUACGUAGGGUGCGAGCGUUAAUCGGAAUUACUGGGCGUAAAGCGUGCGCAGGCGGUUUUGUAAGCCAGAUGUGAAAUCCCCGGGCUUAACCUGGGAAUGGCAUUUGGGACUGCAAGGCUGGAGUGUGGCAGAGGAGACUGGAAUUCCUGGUGUAGCAGUGAAAUGCGUAGAUAUCAGGAGGAAUACCGAUGGCGAAGGCAGGUCUCUGGGCUGACACUGACGCUCAUGCACGAAAGCGUGGGGAGCAAACAGGAUUAGAUACCCUGGUAGUCCACGCCGUAAACGAUGUGUGCUGGAUGUUGGGCGGUCUGACCGUUCAGUGUCGUAGCUAACGCGAUAAGCACACCGCCUGGGGAGUACGGCCGCAAGGUUG